GUGCCAGCCGCCGCGGUAAUACCGGCAGCCCGAGUGAUGGCCGAUCUUAUUGGGCCUAAAGCGUCCGUAGCUGGCCGCGCAAGUCCAUCGGGAAAUCCACCUGCCCAACGGGUGGCCGUCCGGUGGAAACUGCACGGCUUGGGACCGGAAGGCGCGACGGGUACGUCCAGGGUAGGAGUGAAAUCCUGUAAUCCUGGACGGACCGCCGAUGGCGAAAGCACGUCGGGAAGACGGACCCGACGGUGAGGGACGAAAGCCAGGGUCUCCAACCGGAUUAGAUACCCGAGUAGUCC
rnacentral:rRNA from 1 species